rnacentral:rRNA from 1 species
GCGUUGUCCGGAUUUAUUGGGCGUAAAGAGCUCGUAGGUGGCUCGGUAAGUCGGGUGUUAAACCCCCAGGCUCAACCUGGGGACGCCACUCGAUACUGCUGUGGCUAGAGUCCGGUAGGGGAGCGUGGAAUUCCUGGUGUAGCGGUGAAAUGCGCAGAUAUCAGGAGGAACACCAGCGGCGAAGGCGGCGCUCUGGGCCGGUACUGACACUGAGGAGCGAAAGCGU